rnacentral:rRNA from 1 species
AGAGUUUGAUCAUGGCUCAGAUUGAACGCUGGCGGCAUGCCUAAUACAUGCAAGUCGAACGCUUUUGGGGUUUCGGCUCCAAGGGAGUGGCGCACGGGUGAGUAGCGCGUGGGAACCUGCCCUGUUGUGGGGGAUAACCGAGGGAAACUUCGGCUAAUACCGCAUGCGCCCGGGGAAACCCGGGGAAAGAUUUAUCGCAA